GACGAACGCUGGCGGCGUGCUUAACACAUGCAAGUCGAACGGAAAGGCCUGCUUUCCCUUGUGGAUUGCGGGUGCUCGAGUGGCGAACGGGUGAGUAACACGUGAGUGAUCUGCCCCCAACUUGGGUAUAAGCCCGGGAAACUGGGUCUAAUUCCCGAUAGGACUGCAGGGUGGUGCCUGUGGUGGAAAACGAUUUUCUAGUGGUUGGGGAUGAGCUCGCGGCCUAUCAGCUUGUUGGUGGGGUAAUGGCCUACCAAGGCGGCGACGGGUAGCCGGCCUGAGAGGGUGGACGGCCACAUUGGGACGGAGAUACGGCCCAGACUCCUACGGGAGGCAGCAGUGGGGAAUAUUGCACAAUGGGCGGAAGCCUGAUGCAGCGACGCCGCGUGGGGGAUGACGGCCUUCGGGUUGUAAACUCCUUUCGACCGCGAGGAAGCCACCUGGUUGGAAGGGUGGUGACGGUAGUGGUAGAAGAAGCACCGGCUAACUACGUG
rnacentral:rRNA from 1 species